AAAGAUCUGAAGUAUACGUAAGCUUUAGUUUUGAACCUACGUUAUAUAAACGGAAGUUCAAUAUUUAGAUGUGUACAUGAAGCCUACUUAUAAUUGAAAGUUUAGGAAGAUGGAGACAUCUGUGAGAACAUCCACCUAUUUUUGGAUAGGUGUCAAAGUAAGGUUAAACGGUAUUUUGGAUAAAAU
rnacentral:other from 1 species